rnacentral:rRNA from 1 species
AUACGUAGGUGGCGAGCGUUGUCCGGAAUUAUUGGGCGUAAAGGAUGCGUAGGCGGAUGGUUAAGUCAGAUGUGAAAACCCUGUGCUAAACAUAGGGCAUGCAUAUGAAACUGGUCAUCUAGAGUACAGGAGAGGAAAGCGGAAUUCCUAGUGUAGCGGUGAAAUGCGUAGAUAUUAGGAAGAACACCAGUGGCGAAGGCGGCUUUCUGGACUGAAACUGACGCUGAAGCAUGAAAGCGUGGGGAGCAAACAGGAUUAGAUACCCUGGUAGUCCACGCCGUAAACGAUGGAUACUAGGUGUAGGGGAUAACAAUCCUCUGUGCCGGAGUCAACACAAUAAGUAUCCCGCCUGGGGAGUACGAUCGCAAGAUUAAA